rnacentral:lncRNA from 1 species
GCCGCCAUCUGCUCGUCGUGCGGCCACCGUCAUCCCAGCGCCGUGCGAGAGUGUUCAGGAGGAUCGCCCUGGUCGUCUCCAUCGUCUGCGCUCGCAAAGUCAAGACGGAGAGCCCCACCGAGCCAGAUCCUCAUCGUCUUCAACCUCCGGCCGCCUCAAUGCUAUCGUGAUGCCGUCGCCGCGAUUCCUCGCCAUCUGCGCUCCUAAGCUGUCAACGAGCCUCCGUGCGCUCCUCGGUGAGCCCCGUGCCUUUGACCUCCGCCUCCCCUUCGGUCUGCUAUCCCUAGCCGCCGCGCCACCCUUGCCGUAGUUCGUUGCCGCCGUCGUGCUUGCUGCCGUUGUUGUAGUGCUUCCCCGGCUCAGGCGAGCACACCACGGUGCUUCUGGCAUCGCGUGGGAGCUGCCUAGCCCUUCGGUGCUUCGCGUGGGUACUUCUAGCACCGUCCCCCUCGAGUUUUUGCUCUGGCCGCCGCUCACCGUCGUUGUUGCCGUCACCUUAAGUCGGUCCCGCCUGAUCUAGUAGCACUAGUGGACGCGCGACGUCUUGCUCGCCCCCGACCGCACUCGUCGCUGCCCCAUGGCCUUCUGCGCGUGCGCCACCACGCCCGACGCUGGCCACCGCUCGCCCUUGCCGCGUCCAGGGCAUGCCCCCGCAGCCGCCCGCGGUCCCUGCUCCGCCUACUAUCGUUGCUGCUGCGCUGCUUCAGCUCCUGCUGUUGGUGUUGUGGCGCUGCAGCUGCUCUGCUUACCGCUGCGGCUCUCUGCUCCGCUGCCUUAGCCGCCUGAGCUCUCCUGCUGCUGCUUCUUGCUAUUGCUGAUGCUGCAUAGCUACCGCCGCCGCCACUGUUCCUUAGCUGCUGUAGCUGCUGUUUGCUGGUCGCUCUCGCUCGUAGCUGCCAAGUUUGUUUGCUGAAGAAAUAACUGACGAAACUGAAUUGACGUAUAAGGUACUGAAGAAACCCAUCAGACUACCAGAGAGCGCCCCGUCCAAGCUUGGUCUUGUGCGUUGUGUGCAUGAGUGUGUGUUCUGUGUGUGUGGCCGGCCAAAUGCUAGUUUAGGGACUAGUUUAGUUAGUUAGUCUAAUUAGUAGUACUCUAUUAAUUAAUUAGUCUAAUAGUAGAUGACAUGUGGACCCAUUUUUAGUUUAAAGAAAAACGAAUUAUCAGAAAAGUAAGUCAAUGACGUGUGGCCCCCACACUAUUCAUAUGUUGACUAGUCAACUGUUGACUUUGACCCUGACCCCACCUGUCAUAUACUAUGGCUAGAGUAGCACUAGGUGACAAACCUGAUUCCUGUUUUAUUCUCGAAUUAAUAAUAAAUCCAGAAAAUGUUUAAAUCUUUUAAAUUUAUAGAAAGUAAACCGUAACUCGGAUGAAAAUGUUUUCUACAUGAAAGUUGCUCAGAACGACGAGGCGAAUCCGGAUACGCGGUCCAUUCAUCUAUCACAUGCCCCUAGCAUGCUGAACAUGGAACCUUCCCCCUCCAGUCAUCUGUCUGACACAGGUUCGGAACCGGGAAAACAUUCCCGGUUGACUUCCCCCCUCGCCGGUAUCGUGUAGCACCGCGUUAGAACACGUCUAGCUCUGCUUGUUGUCCUGUUAUGCUAUGUUUGCUUUAUAUUUACUAUUCCUUCCCCUUCUUCUCUCCGGUAGACCCCGAGACCGAUGCCGCCCCUGUGAUCGACUACGUCGACGAUGACCCCUCCUUGCCAGAGCAACCA